rnacentral:rRNA from 1 species
UCUAUGAGUUUGAUCAUGGCUCAGAUUGAACGCUGGCGGCAUGCUUUACACAUGCAAGUCGAACGGUAACAGGGAGCUUGCUCCGCUGACGAGUGGCGAACGGGUGAGUAAUGCGUCGGAACGUGCCGAGUAGUGGGGGAUAACGCAUCGAAAGGUGUGCUAAUACCGCAUACGAACUGAGGUUGAAAGUGGGGGACCUUCGGGCCUCACGCUAUUCGAGCGGCCGACGUCUGAUUAGCUAGUAGGUGAGGUAAAGGCUCACCUAGGCGACGAUCAGUAGCGGGUCUGAGAGGAUGAUCCGCCACACUGGGACUGAGACACGGCCCAGACUCCUACGGGAGGCAGCAGUGGGGAAUUUUGGACAAUGGGCGCAAGCCUGAUCCAGCCAUGCCGCGUGUCUGAAGAAGGCCUUCGGGUUGUAAAGGACUUUUGUCUGGGAGCAAAUACCCGGUGUUAAUAGCGCCGGGGGC